rnacentral:rRNA from 1 species
AUUGAACGCUGGCGGCAGGCCUAACACAUGCAAGUCGAACGAGUGGCGGACGGGUGAGAAAUGUCUGGGAAACGGCCUGAUGGAGGGGGAUAACUACUGGAAACGGUAGCUAAUACCGAAUACCAUGAGAUGUGCCCAGAUGGGUUUAGCUAGUUGGGGGGGUAACGGCUCACCAAGGCGACGAUCCCUAGCUGGUCUGAGAGGAGGACCAGCCACACGGGAACUUAGACACGGUCCAUACUCCUACGGGAUGCAGCAGUGGGGAAUAUUGCACAAUGGGCGCAAGCCUGAUGCAGCCAUGCCGCGUGUAUGAAGAAGGCCUUCGGGUUUUAAAGUACUUUCAGCGGUGAGGCGUUACCCGCAGAAGAAGCACCGGCUAACUCCGUGCCAGCAGCCGCGGUAAUUC